rnacentral:misc_RNA from 1 species
GAUGAAGAACGCAGCGAAAUGCGAUAAGUAAUGUGAAUUGCAGAAUUCAGUGAAUCAUCGAAUCUAUGAACGCACAUUGCGCCCCCUGGUAUUCCGGGGGGCAUGCCUGUCCGAGCGUCAUUACAACCCUCAAGCUCAGCUUGGUAUUGGGCCCCGCCGACCCGGCGGGCCCUAAAGUCAGUGGCGGUGCCGUCCGGCUCCGAGCGUAGUAAUUCUUCUCGCUCUGGAGGUCCGGUCGUGUGCUCGCCAGCAACCCCCAAUUUUUUUCAGGUUGACCUCGGAUCAGGUAGGGAUACCCGCUGAACUUAAGCAUAUCAAUAAGCGGAGGA